rnacentral:rRNA from 1 species
AAAAAACUCUGAGCGGUGGAUCACUUGGCUCGCGAGUCGAUGAAGAGCGCARCCAGCUGCGUGAAUUAAUGUGAAUUGCAGGACACAUUGAACAUCAAUCUCUUGAACGCAUAUUGCGGCCUCGGGUUAGUCCUGGGGCCACGCCUGUCUCAGGGUCGGUUG